rnacentral:rRNA from 1 species
UGGGGAAUAUUGCACAAUGGGCGCAAGCCUGAUGCAGCCAUGCCGCGUGUGUGAAGAAGGCCUUCGGGUUGUAAAGCACUUUCAGCGGGGAGGAAGGCGUUAAGGUUAAUAACCUUGGCGAUUGACGUUACCCGCAGAAGAAGCACCGGCUAACUCCGUGCCAGCAGCCGCGGUAAUACGGAGGGUGCAAGCGUUAAUCGGAAUUACUGGGCGUAAAGCGCACGCAGGCGGUCUGUCAAGUCGGAUGUGAAAUCCCCGGGCUCAACCUGGGAGCUGCAUUCGAAACUGGGAGGCUAGAGUCUUGUAGAGGGGGGUAGAAUUCCAGGUGUAGCGGUGAAAUGCGUAGAGAUCUGGAGGAAUACCGGUGGCGAAGGCGGCCCCCUGGACAAAGACUGACGCUCAGGUGCGAAAGCGUGGGGAGCAAACAGG